CUGUUGUCUUAGAAACUUUAUUUCUGCAAUGUGAUUCUCAGUUUACUGUUUUAUUGGGGAUGUUAAAGUUAUGUAUCUUGAGCCUAACUCGAGGUGAGAUUGUCCAAGUCAUAUUAAAGAGACCAUCCAUCCAUUAAAGGGCUGGUUUGGGACUCUUCAUGCUCAUUUCACGCCCAGUACUUUUUAUAAAACUCUAUUAGCAUCUCCAGUUGAGGAUUUAUUGUUCUAUAAAAGUAUCCCAAACUAGUUCCCCUACUGUUUGUGAUGUCACUUCAUUCUUUUAUAAUUUCAACCUCUCUUUGUUUUUACCUAUGGUAGGAAAUUGUGUAACGUUACCCUAGUUAAGUGGAUUUAAUUAGAUACAAGGAGGUCCAUCUUAGAAAUUCUGCUUGAAGUUGGUGCAGAUUUAACUAAUAUAUUGAGCCAGCUGGAAGAGUGGCAGUUAGCAGAAGGGGGAGAGAUCUGAUGUGGAUAACUCCUAACACUUUCUGGUCCCAACUCUGAAAGAUAUGUGGUACAAUUGUACAAGUAUGUUGAGUACAAGUAAAGCAUAUCACAAUUAGAUCUUACCUCUGAUGCAAGUUGUUACUAGCAUUGGUGAAUAAUGUAAUCUUUGACAAUAAGUUAAUAUUUGGGUGCUGCAGCCUUGCAUUUUGUUCCUCAUUAAA